rnacentral:rRNA from 1 species
GAGUUUGAUCCUGGCUCAGGAUGAACGCUGGCGGCGUGCUUAACACAUGCAAGUCGAACGGGGCCACCAUUUUUGAAGCGAUUAGCUUGCUAAGAGUGGAAAUGUUGGCGGCUUAGUGGCGGACGGGUGAGUAACGCGUGGGUAACCUGCCAUAUACAGGGGGAUAACACUUAGAAAUAGGUGCUAAUACCGCAUAAGCGCACGGAGCUGCAUGGCUCAGUGUGAAAACUCCGGUGGUAUAUGAUGGACCCGCGUCUGAUUAGCUUGUUGGCGGGGUAACGGCCCACCAAGGCGACGAUCAGUAGCCGGCCUGAGAGGGUGGACGGCCACAUUGGGACUGAGACACGGCCCAAACUCCUACGGGAGGCAGCAGUGGGGAAUAUUGGACAAUGGGGGGAACCCUGAUCCAGCGACGCCGCGUGAGUGAAGAAGUAUCUCGGUAUGUAAAGCUCUAUCAGCAGGGAAGAAAGAAUAGACGGUACCUGACCAAGAACG